GUGCUCACCCCAGAGACGGAUGGAUCACACCGUUGAAAUUUUCUCCAUGUGUGUGACUCAUUUGUGUGCAUCUAUGUACAGCAGGUAUUCUCCAAUUGCUGCUAACUGGUGCCAUAGAGAAAAAGUCACACUCCGCACCUUGUGAGAGAAGCUACUCCAGGUGAGAAGCCACUCUUGAGGCUCCAGGUGAGAAGCCACUCUUCCGGGUCUGUGUUAGGAACCAUUCUUCAGGUUCCACGUUUGAAAAGCCAGCUCUUCCGGUUCUGUGUCAAGAGUCACCUCUUCAGGUUCUACGUUCAAAGCCACUCUUCAGGGACUGUGUGAGAAGCCACGCUUCAGGCUCCACUCUUCCCUCAGGCUCCUGCCAGCACGGGCUGAACAGCUAUGCCACAGUUCUUCACGAAAAUGAACCGAGAUCUAAACCAGGAUUCCCUCCUUUAAGUUGUUUCUGGUUGACAAAAUUCAUCAUCGCGGGAGCUGUGUUUUGAAAGUGCCUGAAAGUGACAGAAGCUCCUUCCUUCCAGCACUUGGUGACCCAAGCACCAAGACCACCCCUUGCCAGCCUCCAUCAGAGGCCCCGAGCAUCAGGGAUACACUUCUGCAAGAGACACGUCAACCCAGAGGUUUCAGCUGCAGCCCUAGGGAUCCCUGAAGUUCUACAGAGGAGAAUUAGUGAGACACUGAAGGAAACCAGCGAUGCUUGAGGUCUCCCAGCCCUGUCUCAGCCAGAAUGGCUGGGAUACUACUGUAAUUGAAUACGGGUACCCUAUAUACUUUUGUUUAUAGAAAGGGUUCUGUGUCACUAAAACGUUUAUAAAACAUGUGUCUGUACUAAUAAAUUUUAUAAUGGAAACAAA
rnacentral:lncRNA from 1 species